rnacentral:rRNA from 1 species
CAAUAGCGUAUAUUAAAGUUGUUGCAGUUAAAAAGCUCGUAGUUGGAUUUCUGGUGGGAGCGAUCGGUCUGGCGCUUAGCGCGAGUACUUGCAUCGUCUCCGGCCAUCCUUGGGGAGAGUCUGUCUGGCAUUAGGUUGUCGGGCAGAGGAUCCUCAUCGUUUACUGUGAAAAAAUUAGAGUGUUCAAAGCAGGCUUAUGCCGUUGAAUAUAUUAGCAUGGAAUACUAAGAUAGGACUUUGGUACUAUUUUGUUGGUUUGCGCACCAAAGUAAUGAUUAAUAGGGACAGUUGGGGGUAUUCGUAUUCCGUUGUCAGAGGUGAAAUUCUUGGAUUUACGGAAGACGAACUACUGCGAAAGCAUUUACCAAGGAUGUUUUCAUUAA